AGGAUCUAUCUUUCUAAAGGAAAACAUAUUUAAGAAAUUCUGAGGUUCUGGAUUCAGGCUGCCACAGCAACUCAUCCAGAUGAACUAGAGAACAAGUCACCUCACCACCUCUCCCGACAUUAAUAGGAAAGCCUCGUGUUUUGGGAUGGAUGAGUAGAAAGCAAAUGGCAGAGGACAUGUUUUAUUUGUGAACUAGGAUGACAAAAGUGAAGCCUGUGUGGUCUAAUCCCACUAACGGUGCAUACCUUCCCCCAGUGACUUAAGAACCUUUUAUUUGUCCUUACCUAACAUCUCCCAAGAACACAUUCCUGGGGUCAAGCCUUUAAAACCCUCCAAAGGAUGACCAGUUAAAUGUCAGACAAUGAAUUAAGUACAUUUAAAGAUGAUCAUUCUCCAUCUUUCUUAAAUUUUUAAUUUAAAUAAAAUAUAAUGUUCUCAUAUG
rnacentral:lncRNA from 1 species